CUGCACAGAACAGAGAGCUCAUCUGCCUGGCUGCCACUUCUUCUCUAGAAUUUACAAACACAUAUAAGGGUUUUCGACUUCAAAUCAACUUUCAGACCAUUUUGUAAAUGUUUCUUACUAUCAGAACUCAAGUUUUCUCCUAUAGUUUAGUUAUCACCAAAGGUUAGAUACAGGUCUCUUAAAAAAAUUGGAGAGUAGUCAGAAAUAAACGACAGAUGAUUAUUAGCAAUGUUAUCAGCACGUUCUCCACAUUCCAGAUGGGUAGUACAGGGUAAUGGGUAAGGGUAUGAAUCUGAAAGCAGACACCAGAGCUUGAAUCCCAGCUCCACAAUUGACUAUUAUAGCUGUGUGAUCUUGGUCAAGUUAUUUAAUCUCUCUGUGUCUCAAUUUCCUUCUCUGUGAAAUGGAGAUGAUAAUAAUAGCACCUACCUCAUAGGGUCAUUAGAAUCGAAUCAAAGGAGUUAAUAUAUGCAAAACUCUUACAACAGUUUCUUGCACUUAGUAAACACUGUAGAACUGCUAGCUUUCAUCAUUUAGGCUCUCAAAAUCUUUUGUAAGUAUUCAAGCCUUUCCCUCUCUUCUUCCUCCUCCACAACCAACGAUCCUGAUCCACGGCAGAGAUUAGGGCUAAAUGCACCCACACAGCGUUACCCUCCACAGGUUGGGUUACCACUUGUUUCUCUUCUGGUCACUUGCUGUCCAGCAC
rnacentral:lncRNA from 10 species